rnacentral:rRNA from 1 species
ACGGCAACUGUCACACGGUACAGUCCACAAAGUAGCAAUAUCCUCGUAGGGUAAGCUCCUACAAGCACUAACGGUGUAAUGACUUCCCCAUUGUCGCGUGUUAAGACUCUUCAUAA